rnacentral:tRNA from 1 species
GCCCCGUUGGCUCAACUGGAUAGAGCACCUGGCUACGAACCAGGAACGUGCACAUUCGAAUCGUGUGCGGGGCACCA